ACUUAUUGUUCGGAAUUUUAAUUAGUUCCCAUAUCUUGUCGUCGGAGAGAAAUCUUUGGCAUCGGUUCUUCUCUACCAAAAUUUCUUGGAAUCGUAAUUCAGAACCACACCCCCAAUUUUUACCGGACAGAGGUAAGCCUCGAAGAUUAAUCGAACUUAUCCGAAGUUGUUACGGACUGAACGGUCGACCGAGACGGUUGAUACCUCGCGAGUCGAUGUAAUCGAGUUUUUCGUGCGCGAACGAUACGAUAUCUAGCGGUAGAAUCUAUAAAAACGUUGAUGCAGUUCGCGCAUGCUGAUCUGACACGUAGUUCGUGCAGUAAAAUAAUAAUAUCGCAGAAAGCGAUCGUUCGCGUCAUUCCCCGUGGAGACAUACGCGAUUCUAGACGGAACGCGGUUACGUACACCUGCCAACGUAACGACCAGCAGGAUUAUUCACGUAAUGUACCCAGCGGAGAUACACGAGUCACACCUGUUGCUUGGUUCGAUACACCGGGUGCUUUCUCGGUGUUCGUUCACCCGUGGCGUGCCAACGUUUCCCCUCUGACUCAUUCAUCCGCAAAAAACCUCCGAAUUAUCCACAACAUUUUGACCGGACAAACUCGCUGGUGACCAAAUUCGCGAAACUUCCUCCUUAUGACCGUCUAACGUAGUCGAAGAAACUUUGAUCCUCGAAGAGCGUAAAAGCAUCACGACUGAGAACGCGGCGAGUCGUGAUGCUGGCUUACUCUUUCACCUGUUAUCAAGGAGACUUCAUUCACCGCGAUACGAUGGCGCAACCUGAAUGGUGCUGCCAUUAAGUGGUUGCCUCGCUCAAGUAACCUUGCUUCCUUCAAAUUGAAUCCGCAUUAAUCCUAAGAGAAUGCAAUAUAUAUUACUCAUAACCUAUCGGAUAUCCCGGUUCGAUAAUAUAUUUUAAGUUGGUUUUUGACUUAGAUUCAAACUUAUCUUUCCAGCAAAUAUAAUAGAGACUUCAAAUUGUUGAAAUAA